rnacentral:lncRNA from 1 species
GUCCCAGGAGUGCUCCCCGUUUUUCACUCUCCGUCUGUCCCUGUCCUUCCCUUUGUCCCGGUCGCGCUCUCGGUCCCUGUCUCUCAGUCUCUCCUUCUCUUUCCCCCCCUCACUCUUUCUCUCUGUCUCCUUCUUGCGCUCGGAGUCUCUGUCCCGCUCCCUGUUGCCUCUGUCUUUCUGUCGCUCGUUGUCUGGCCUGGCCCGGGCUUUGGCUCUCUCUCUCUCCCCUUCUCUGUGUCUGUUUCCGCCAUUCUCCUUGGCCUUCUCCUUGUCCUUGUCCUUUUCUCUUGGCUUGCGGUCUUCUUUCAAUUCUUCCUUCUGUUUUCGAUCUCUGCUUGUACUUCUCUCUUUU